UAACAGGAAAAAGCUUGCUUUUUUGCUGACGACCGGCGCACGGGUGCGUAACGCGUAUACAAUCUACCUUUAGCUGAGGGAUAGCCCAGAGAAAUUUGGAUUAAUACCUCAUGGUAUCUAUUUAAGGCAUCUUAGAUAGAUUAAAGGUUACGGCUAAAGAUGAGUAUGCGUCCUAUUAGCUAGAUGGUGUGGUAACGGCACACCAUGGCAACGAUAGGUAGGGGCCCUGAGAGGGGGAUCCCCACACUGGUACUGAGACACGGACCAGACUCCUACGGGAGGCAGCAGUGAGGAAUAUUGGGCAAUGGAGGCAACUCUGACCCAGCCAUGCCGCGUGCAGGAAGACUGCCCUAUGGGUUGUAAACUGCUUUUAUACAGGAAGAAACACUCCCUCGUGAGGGAGCUUGACGGUACUGUAAGAAUAAGGAUCGGCUAACUCCGUG
rnacentral:rRNA from 1 species